UACGGGGGGAGCAAGCGUUGUUCGGAUUUACUGGGCGUAAAGGGCGCGUAGGCGGUCGUGACAAGUCACUUGUGAAAUCUCCGGGCUUAACUCGGAACGGUCAAGUGAUACUGUCGGACUAGAGUACAGAAGGGGCAACUGGAAUUCUCGGUGUAGCGGUGAAAUGCGUAGAUAUCGAGAGGAACACCUGCGGCGAAGGCGGGUUGCUGGGCUGAUACUGACGCUGAGGCGCGAAAGCUGGGGGAGCGAACAGG
rnacentral:rRNA from 1 species